GAACCCUGAUUCCCCGUUACCCGUUACGACCAUGGUAGGCGCAGAACCUACCAUCGACAGUUGAUAAGGCAGACAUUUGAAAGAUGCGUCGCCGGUGCGAUGACCGUGCGAUCAGCGUAAAGUUAUUCAGAGUCACCAAGUUGUACGAUGACGAGCGAACCCGCCACCGAUUGGUUUUGAUYUAAUAAAAGCACUCCUUCCGUCUCCGGUCGGAGCUCUGUUUGCAUGUAUUAGCUCUAGAAUUACCACAGUUAUCCAAGUAAUUGUGGGUACGAU
rnacentral:rRNA from 1 species